CCCCUUGGCCAAGUCGAACGGUGAAGCCAAGCUUGCUUGGUGGAUCAGUGGCGAACGGGUGAGUAACACGUGAGCAACCUGCCCUGAACUCUGGGAUAAGCGCUGGAAACGGCGUCUAAUACUGGAUAUGAGCUGCGGAGGCAUCUUCGUGGUUGGAAAGAUUUUUCGGUUUGGGAUGGGCUCGCGGCCUAUCAGCUUGUUGGUGAGGUAAUGGCUCACCAAGGCGUCGACGGGUAGCCGGCCUGAGAGGGUGACCGGCCACACUGGGACUGAGACACGGCCCAGACUCCUACGGGAGGCAGCAGUGGGGAAUAUUGCACAAUGGGCGGAAGCCUGAUGCAGCAACGCCGCGUGAGGGAUGACGGCCUUCGGGUUGUAAACCUCUUUUAGCAGGGAAGAAGCGAAAGUGACGGUACCUGCAGAAAAAGCGCCGGCUAACUACGUGCCAGCAGCCGCGGUAAUACGUAGGGCGCAAGCGUUAUCCGGAAUUAUUGGGCGUAAAGAGCUCGUAGGCGGUUUGUCGCGUCUGCUGUGAAAUCUGGGGGCUCAACCCCCAGCCUGCAGUGGGUACGGGCAGACUAGAGUGCGGUAGGGGAGAUUGGAAUUCCUGGUGUAGCGGUGGAAUGCGCAGAUAUCAGGAGGAACACCGAUGGCGAAGGCAGAUCUCUGGGCCGUAACUGACGCUGAGGAGCGAAAGGGUGGGGAGCAAACAGGCUUAGAUACCCUGGUAGUCCACCCCGUAAACGUUGGGAACUAGUUGUGGGGUCCAUUCCACGGAUUCCGUGACGCAGCUAACGCAUUAAGUUCCCCGCCUGGGGAGUACGGCCGCAAGGCUAAAACUCAAAGGAAUUGACGGGGACCCGCACAAGCGGCGGAGCAUGCGGAUUAAUUCGAUGCAACGCGAAGAACCUUACCAAGGCUUGACAUACACGAGAACGCUGCAGAAAUGUAGAACUCUUUGGACACUCGUGAACAGGUGGUGCAUGGUUGUCGUCAGCUCGUGUCGUGAGAUGUUGGGUUAAGUCCCGCAACGAGCGCAACCCUCGUUCUAUGUUGCCAGCACGUAAUGGUGGGAACUCAUGGGAUACUGCCGGGGUCAACUCGGAGGAAGGUGGGGAUGACGUCAAAUCAUCAUGCCCCUUAUGUCUUGGGCUUCACGCAUGCUACAAUGGCCGGUACAAAGGGCUGCAAUACCGCGAGGUGGAGCGAAUCCCAAAAAGCCGGUCCCAGUUCGGAUUGAGGUCUGCAACUCGACCUCAUGAAGUCGGAGUCGCUAGUAAUCGCAGAUCAGCAACGCUGCGGUGAAUACGUUCCCGGGUCUUGUACACACCGCCCGUCAAGUCAUGAAAGUCGGUAACACCUGAAGCCGGUGGCCCAAACCCUUGUGGAGGGGAGCCCCUUAC
rnacentral:rRNA from 1 species